GCAUAACGCGAAGAACCUUACCCACCUUUGACAUGUACGGAAUCCUUUAGAGAUAGAGGAGUGCUCGAAAGAGAGCCGUAACACAGGUGCUGCAUGGCUGUCGUCAGCUCGUGUCGUGAGAUGUUGGGUUAAGUCCCGCAACGAGCGCAACCCUUGCCAUUAGUUGCUACGAAAGGGCACUCUAAUGGGACUGCCGGUGACAAACCGGAGGAAGGUGGGGAUGACGUCAAGUCCUCAUGGCCCUUAUAGGUGGGGCUACACACGUCAUACAAUGGCUGGUACAGAGGGUUGCCAACCCGCGAGGGGGAGCUAAUCCCAUAAAGCCAGUCGUAGUCCGGAUCGCAGUCUGCAACUCGACUGCGUGAAGUCGGAAUCGCUAGUAAUCGCGAAUCAGAAUGUCGCGGUGAAUACGUUCCCGGGUCUUGUACACACCG
rnacentral:rRNA from 1 species